CAGCUUGCUGGGGUACACGAGUGGCGAACGGGUGAGUAACACGUGGGUGACCUGCCCUGCACUUCGGGAUAAGCCUGGGAAACUGGGUCUAAUACCGGAUAGGACCGCACCGUGAGGGUGUGGUGGAAAGUUUUUUCGGUGUGGGAUGGGCCCGCGGCCUAUCAGCUUGUUGGUGGGGUAACUGGCCUACCAAGGCGGCGACGGGUACCGGCCUGAGAGGGUGGACGGCCCACAUUGGGACUGAGACACGGCCCAGACUCCUACGGGAGGCAGCAAUGGGGAAUAUUGCACAAUUGGGCGGAAGCCUGAUGCAGCGACGCCGCUGGGGGAUGACGGCCUUCGGGUUGUAAACUCCUUUCACCAUCGACGAAGGGUUUCUGACGGUAGAUGGAGAAGAAGCACCGGCUAACUACGUGCCAGCAGCCGCGGUAAUACGUAGGGUGCGAGCGUUGUCCGGAAUUACUGGGCGUAAAGAGCUCGUAGGUGGUUUGUCGCGUCGUCUGUGAAAUUCCGGGGCUUAACUCCGGGCGUGCAGGCGAUACGGGCAUAGCUUGAGUACUGUAGGGGAGACUGGAAUUCCUGGUGUAGCCGGUGAAAUGCGCAGAUAUCAGGAGGAACACCGGUGGCGAAGGCGGGUCUCUGGGCAGUAACUGACGCUGAGGAGCGAAAGCAUGGGGAGCGAACAGGAUUAGAUACCCUGGUAGUCCAUGCCGUAAACGGUGGGCGCUAGGUGUGGGUUUCCUUCCACGGGAUCCGUGCCGUAGCUAACGCAUUAAGCGCCCCGCCUGGGAGUACGCCGCAAGGC
rnacentral:rRNA from 1 species